rnacentral:rRNA from 1 species
AGAAUCAACGCUGGCGGCGUGCCUAACACAUGCAAGUCGAACGAGAAAGGGGUAGCAAUACCCUGAGUAAAGUGGCGCACGGGUGAGUAACACGUGACUAACCUACCCUUGAGUGGGGGAUAACUGAGGGAAACCUUAGCUAAUACCGCAUAAUACCCACGGGUCAAAGGAGCAAUCCGCUCGAGGAGGGGGUCGCGGCCGAUUAGUUAGUUGGCGGGGUAAUGGCCCACCAAGACGAUGAUCGGUAU